UUGUGAGCAGUGUGGACAGAAACAAACUGAUGGAGAUAGAAAUAGGAGAAUUCCACCCUGUCAGAAGAUGAAUGAGUUGAGCCUGUACGAUGUGAACCAUGGCCAACUGAAGGAAGGCGGAAUCAAAGGGCAGGCAACACACGCUUCACAGCUCUGACCACUGAGGAUUGACAUGAUUAUCUCCAGACAAAAUAACUGAAACGUGGGCAUCCAAGAAUACUACAGAGUGAAGACCACUGGGAAGAUGAUUUGUGGAAUAAAGGAAGAGGCACUCACCACACACAAACACCCUUGGGCCACCCUGAAAGUAAGGUGUGGGCACAAUGAAGGUGCUUCUAGACAGAUCCAGGAAUGAAAAUACUAUGUUUAUCUUCACCCUCUGCAUGUAAUCCUCUGACUACAACUCAGAUACCAUACUGUACAGCC